rnacentral:rRNA from 1 species
AACGAACGCUGGCGGCAUGCCUAACACAUGCAAGUCGAACGAGAACGUCGGGCUUAGGGGGGGAGGGGGGGGUAAGACCGGGGAAGUUGCCCGUAAGUUCGGAAUAACUGCCUGAAAGGUAUCCUAAUAAAGGAGAAUCUCAUCGGACCAAGGAUUUAUCGCCGUUGGAUGGGGCCGGGUUGGAUUAGGUGGUUGGUAGGGUAAAAGCCUAGCAAGGGGACGAUCCAUAGCUGGUCUGUGAGGAGGACCAGCCACACUGGGACUGAGACACGGCCCAGACUCCUACGGGGGGCAGCAGUGGGGAGUAUUAGACGAGGGGCGAUGGCGUGAUCCAGCCGCGCCGCGUAAGUGAUGAAGGCCUUAGGAUUGUAAAGCUCUCUGUCCCGGGAUGAUAAUGACAGUACCGGGAGAAUAAGCACCGGCUAACUCCGUG